CCUCCUUCUUCUCCUUCCUCUUUUCUUUCUCUCUUCUUUUCUUUUUUUCGAAGCUUUUUCUCUCUCUUUUUUGAAUUUUUUUAUCAUUCGGCCCCCCAAAUUUUGGGGUUAAAAGCCCCUUUUAUAGAUGAUUUUUGCUUCAUUUUGCAGGUGGUAGGUGGCUAGGGGAGAGGGAGGCCAUGCCCUAGGCCGGUGGCCGGAAAUCACGGGGGUAGGUGUGCAAGUUGCUGCCAGAAGGACUAAACUGCAAACGCAGGAAAAGUCUUGGGGCCGAAACAUAAUUUUGAGAAAGUUUAGAGGUCAAAAUGUAAUUUUUAGAAAGUUUAGGGGUUAAAAUGUAAUUUCAAAAAGUUUAUGGGUCAAAAUGUAAUUUCAAAAAGUUUAGGGGUCAAAAUGCAAUUUUUUAUUUUUUUUGUAUUUUUUGAUUUUUUUUAAAAAAACACAAAAUCGAGCCGGACAAAAUUCAGUGAUUACAGCUGCCCCUCUUUGCUCAUCGUUGUGAAACAGGG
rnacentral:lncRNA from 1 species